UACGUAGGAGGCGAGCGUUGUCCGGAUUUACUGGGCGUAAAGGGCUCGUAGGCGGCCAACUAAGUCAUACGUGAAAUCCCUCAGCUUAACUGGGGAACUGCGUGUGAUACUGGAUGGCUUGGAUUUGGGAGAGGGAUGCGGAAUUCCAGGUGUAGCGGUGAAAUGCGUAGAUAUCUGGAGGAACACCGGUGGCGAAGGCGGCAUCCUGGACCAAUACUGACGCUGAGGAGCGAAAGCCAGGGGAGCAAACGGG
rnacentral:rRNA from 1 species